rnacentral:miRNA from 1 species
GACGCCCAAAACUGAAGGUCA